UACAGAGAUGGCAAGCGUUGUUCGGAUUUACUGGGCGUAAAGGGUGCGUAGGCGGCAGGGUAUGUCGGAUGUGAAAUCUCACGGCUCAACCGUGAACAUGCAUUCGAAACUGCCCCGCUAGAGUACUGGAGAGGAGAGCGGAAUUCUUGGUGUAGCGGUGAAAUGCGUAGAUAUCAAGAAGAACGCCGGCGGCGAAGGCGGCUCUCUGGACAGAUACUGACGCUGAGGCACGAAAGCUGGGGGAGCGAACAGG
rnacentral:rRNA from 1 species